CCCUUAGAUGUUCGGGGCCGCACGCGCGCUACACUGAAGGACUCAGCGUGUCUCUCCCCCUAUCCCGAAAGGGAUGGGCAACCCGUUGAACCUCCUUCGUGCUAGGGAUUGGGGUUUGCAAUUAUCCCCCAUGAACGAGGAAUUCCCAGUAAGCGCGGGUCAUCAGCUCGCGUUGAUUACGUCCCUGCCCUUUGUACACACCGCCCGUCGCUACUACCGAUUGGAUGGUUUAGUGAGACCCUCGGAUCGGUCCCGACUCGGGGUGGGCUUCUGCCCCGGUCGUGGUUUCGCCGAGAAGACGGUCAAACUUGGCUAUCUAGAGGAAGUAAAAGUCGUAACA
rnacentral:rRNA from 1 species